CCUACAUGAAGUCGGAAUCGCUAGUAAUCGCGGAUCAGCAUGCCGCGGUGAAUACGUUCCCGGGCCUUGUACACACCGCCCGUCACACCAUGAGAGUUUGUAACACCCAAAGCCGGUGGGGUAACCUUUUGGAGCCAGCCGUCUAAGGUGGGACAGAUGAUUGGGGUGAAGUCGUAACAAGGUAGC
rnacentral:rRNA from 1 species